rnacentral:misc_RNA from 1 species
GAAAUGCGAUAAGUAAUGUGAAUUGCAGAAUUCAGUGAAUCAUCGAAUCUUUGAACGCACAUUGCGCCCCCUGGUAUUCCGGGGGGCAUGCCUGUUCGAGCGUCAUUUCACCACUCAAGCCUCGCUUGGUAUUGGGCGACGCGGUCCGCCGCGCGCCUCAAAUCGACCGGCUGGGUCUUUCGUCCCCUCAGCGUUGUGGAAACUAUUCGCUAAAGGGUGCCGCGGGAGGCCACGCCGUAAAACAACCCCAUUUCUAAGGUUGACCUCGGAUCAGGUAGGGAUACCCGCUGGACUUAAGC